AAACGUGAUUUGUGGAAUAUAGCCAUGUGGAAUAUAGCCAUGUUUGAAACUCUAACUAACCAUACCUAGACGAGACAUCAAAGUUAAACGUUAGAACAGUAAAAACAACACGUCCGUGUGUACGUUCUUGGAUUUAUAUUUUAGUUGCUGACAUAUUGGAAGAUGAAUUUGGUAUUGUUUUUUGUUGCUAUCCUUGCUUUGGGAUGUCCAGUACAUUUGUUAACAUGUUACCAAUGUACUAAUAUCGAAGGGGUAUUUAGCGAAAAUAACUAUGAUUGUGUUAAGAACGUCAGCGGGGCGACAGUUGGCACUCUUGUGUGUUCCGACGAUCAAGUAUGCACAACUGGUCGUACACUAACCACUGAGGGCAAUAUCUUGAUAUAUAGAAGCUGCUUGGAUCCUGCUAACGGAAGGUGUGCAACAGUGGACUUGCCCACGCAUGGUCAGCAAGAGGUUUGUUUCGACUACUGUGACGUUUCAUAUUGCAACGACAAAUUCAGGACCAUUUAUCAGAAUGGAACCAGGCUAUUUUAAUAAUUAAAUUUGGUCAUUAUAUUAUUAUGCUUAUUAUAUUAUGUUGGUACUAUAUCCACUAUCAACCAAUUGCGACUUACACAGAGACAUUCAUUUCUUUGUAGAAUAAACACUUAAAUAUUUAAUAAUAAAGUUUUAAAAUCGGUUCUAUAUAUGUCGAUAAUAACUGGUAAUUACUAUAGUUAAAGUAAAACAAUUUAAUAUCAUACAUAGGCCUAUUUAUACGAUCAUGUGAAAUGAUAACAGCAAAUAACACCAAUACCACGCCAAACAAGAGGUAAGAACACACUGUAUAUAAACUUAUACAGAAAGACUUAAGUGUUAAAUAAACACUUAAAAAUUAGAAGAUUCCAGUGAAAACAUCGUAGCACAACGUUUUAUUUUACAAAACAAUUUGAUAAAUAACUGUUCCCUGAUAAAAUGUUGGCUAUUGUCUAAAUUUUUUGUCAAUGUUUGGCUGAUUGUCAUCCGAUUUACAAAUAAAUGAGCUUGAUAAAACAUUGUUAUGCACUCGCAGUGUUCUAUAAUCUUAGUUCAGCUCGCCGUUUGUUGAAUAGUGUUUGUGUUUUUAAUACCCAGAAAUAUUUUGGUCUCAUAAUAAACUUUUUAAAAUUUUA